rnacentral:lncRNA from 1 species
CUGACUUCCUGGUGUGUCCUGCAUCAUCACAAGGGACCUGCAGGCAACAGCUGAACUAAGUCCUAAUCCUGAUCUGUAGGUUUUUAUAUAGGCUUGAUUAUGAGCCUGCUUUAUCACUAUAAUAAUCUAGGCUGUUGGUUGGAUGUAUCUACCACCUGAGAGUUUGCUCAGCUCCUUGACUGGGGUCGCUGGGAUGGUCCUGCCUACCCAGUGAAGCUCAUACUGCUCCCAGCUCUCAUAAUGGAGGGAGAAGAUGCAAAGGGAGAAGCAGUCAUAUGAGUAACUACUGGCAAAUAGGUUACCUACCACUUGAACAAGAGACAGAACAAUUAUAAUUGCACAAAAGAAAAGUUUGCUUCACUCCAUUGGCUAUAAGAGGGAACUGUGUUAAUCAUCAUAGUUGCAGAAAUCAGCUGUGUAGAAGUCUAACAAGGUAAGAUGUAUUGACUGGAUAUUUCACAAGAAGCUUGUCAUGUAAGCAUUUACAUUUAAAACAACACAGUUUUAUCACUCUAUUACACUACUGAUAGCAUUUUAGAGAAGAGUAAAUAAGAGAAAAAUUUAAAAAGUAAACCAAAUAAGAGUCUUAUUUUGUUUUUAGAGAAACAGAUUUUAAGAUCAAAUCAGAAAGAUACACUCAAGCAGAGGCCUCUUACCAAUAUGUAAAUAGAGAAAACUAUAUGAGAAUGAAACAAAACCUGUUCUGAUUAGUGUUUUUCUUCUGUACUGGGUGUAGCCUUUGAUGUCUGCCCUUUGUGGUUUGUAAAUUGAACAGACACAAUAAUAUCUGUAAAAAUAGAAUAUGAACUUUUUUUUUUUUCCCAUAUUUGCCAGAAAAGAUAUUUGAGGAAAAACAAAACAGAAACUUCCAUCAGUAGCUUUUUAGAAAGCAUUCUCUUUGUGGCAGCAUUUUUCUAAAAGUAGAACAAAUGAUCCAGGAAAGAUCGUUUAAGGAUAUGAUGCUAGUUUGAAGAGAACAGUGAAAUAAAAAGAAGCUCUGAAAAAUUUAGCA